GCCAGCAUAGUAUAGUGGUUCGGAUGUUGGACUAGGUACUCUGGAGACCAGAGUUCAAAUCUCCACUCAGGCA